AUGGGCUCAACUUUGGGGCCCCACUGUCGGCCUUUUUAUUCUUAUAUAUAUUACUCUUUUGAAAAAUUCUAAACAACAGCCGAUUAUAUUUUCCAUACCACACACUAGUUUAAUUUUGACCAUGGUUCAGCUAAUCUGAAACACCAAUAGAACUACAACAGUACUAGUCAUUUUCUCCCAUCUCUCCUCCCUUCGAUCCUCUCCCAUCUAGUCUUCAACAAGCUUGCCACCACCACACCCUCUCUUUUCUACUCCACCACCUACACUGCUCCCGGUCCCUACACUCUUCUCUGCCUCCGAUUCCUCCCUUUGAUUCCUACAUCUAUUGCUCCUUCCCUAGCCUUCUUCGAGAACAUUGUUCCUGGCCACUUCACCGUCGACUAUUUUUGGAAGCUUUGCUUUUAGUAUUAGGAUCAAGACAUUGAGCCCAAACUAAUGCAUCACCAUCACCUCUGAAAGAUUUAUGUCAAAGAUUGGUAGAGACAGAGAAUUCAAAGACAUAUUAUCUUAUUGAUCGAUUGAUUCAUCUCAUUUUGACACUUCCAAUAUCUACAGCAACCAGUAAACAAGCAUUUUCAGCUAUGAAGAUUGUUAAAACAAGAUUUCGAAGAUUUUAGCAAAUAAUUUAGUUAUCUAUAUUGAAAGAGAAAUAGUUAAGAGUUUUGAUUUAGAUUGGAUUAUUUUGUUUCUUUAAAAGAACGUAAGUUAUAACUUUAGACACUGUAUUUCUUUUAUUUGAUAUAUUUAUAUGAGUGUCUUUACGUUAUUUUAA